GCGGGAAUAGCUCAGUUGGUAGAGCACGACCUUGCCAAGGUCGGGGUCGCGAGUUCGAGUCUCGUUUCCUAACA
rnacentral:tRNA from 1 species